rnacentral:lncRNA from 1 species
GGAAAGAAAAAGCCCUUCCUUGCAAGCACCCACCCCUGCGGGGCUCAACCAGCAAUUUCCCCAUUGGCAAAGGGGACAAGAAGAACUCACUGAACCACAAAGACCCAUCAAACCCCUUUUAAAGACAUGGCGCCAGGAGGCAUCGUGGGUACAGGAACAUGCAUUUCUUGCUGGGGCAUGAAAUUAAGUGCCCUUUCCUGGUUUCCAAGGCAGGGGUUUUCAGGAUAAUGCACAAGCUAGUGAAAGAGAGUCAGGGAAAAAGAGAAAUUUUAUCAUCGAUUUUUCCCUUUUACCAAUGGGAAAUCAAUUGUGAGCCUUCAACUCGGGGCCGAACAGAAUGUGAGAAUGGAAUCAGGUCAGCACAGGUUUUAUCUGCCAUGGCAAACCUAUACACCCCUCUCAAGAGACCCCAUGGGCAGUUCCCUGGUAGCCCCUCUUCACAUUUUAAAGUCACAGAGUCAUGAUCCGAAUGACUUCACUUAAAACAGGUUGCAGUUGUUUCUAGUUUAGGAGUUCAGCCUCCAUAUUUUCUGAUCCAAAGCAACAAAAACACCCAUGCAAAACAAUGGCAAACACGCCUUUGGGAACAACGGGGCAGAAUUUUUGAAAUCAGAGUGGUCUGAAAAAUACGGUCGUAUCUAUAAGCUUUCUCGCUCCCUCAAGCCCCAGCAUGUAACUUCAGAAAGCUGUUCUGAAAGCGAUUUUUCAACUUCCUGGCUAGUUUAAUUGAAUUUCUAGCUCCCCAAACAAAAAGCAUAGCUCAUUCAUUCCCAAGAACUGCUGUGACUAAGGUCUGCAAUCCCUGGUGACAAGGAUCUAGGAAGGUGAGCACUGAUAAUCUGCAAUGAGAACAAGGUGACUACCAGGUAAGGGGGCUACAGGAGACAAAGGAGUGCACUGGAG